CAAGGAUUCCCCUAGUAACUGCGAGUGAAGCGGGAAAAGCUCAAAUUUAAANUCUGNCGGNCCCUGUGGCCGUCCGAGUUGUAAUUUAGAGAAGUGUUAUCCGCGCUGGACCGUGUACAAGUCUCCUGGAAUGGAGCGUCAUAGAGGGUGAGAGUCCCGUCUUUGACACGGACUGCCAGGGCAUUGCGAUACGCUCUCAAAGAGUCGAGUUGUUUGGGAAUGCAGCUCAAAAUGGGUGGUAAAUUCCAUCUAAAGCUAAAUAUUGGGGAGAGACCGAUAGCGAACAAGUACCGUGAGGGAAAGAUGAAAAGAACUUUGGAAAGAGAGUUAAACAGUACGUGAAAUUGCUGAAAGGGAAACGCUUGAAGUCAGUCGCGUCGCUCAGGACUCAGCCUUGCUUUUGCUUGGUGUACUUCCUGUUCGAUGGGUCAGCAUCAAUUUUGGUCGGUGGAUAAAGGCUCAGAGAAUGUGGCAUCUUCGGGUGUGUUAUAGCUCUGGGUUGUAUACAUCGGCUGGGAUUAAGGAACUCAGCACGCCGCAAGGCCGGGUACUUGUACCACGUACGUGCUUAGGAUGCUGGCAUAAUGGCUUUAAUCGACC
rnacentral:rRNA from 1 species